AUCGCUUCUCGGCCUUUUGGCUAAGAUCAAAGUGUAGUAUCUGUUCUUUUCAGCUUAAUAUCUGAAAGUUCCCUCACUGAGGGACCAGUAUAUUAAACUGAUUUUUGUAUCUCGGGAUGGAGACCGGGGCUUGCUCCACUCCUCCCACGGGUCGGCCCGGCAUUGCAGUGCCGCCGGGCAUGGCCCACAUAAA